rnacentral:lncRNA from 1 species
GCAAUUCCUUCAGAAGCAACCUCAGUAGCAGUCUAAGGACCUUCCUCAGACUCAGACUGGAAAGAAGGUAGCUGAGAACCUUGGCUACCUUGAUGACUUUUGCCCUAAUCUUUUCUACCGAAAGAUAUUUCAAAGGAAAAGAAGAUCGAAAGGGAAUAAGGAAGAAAAUAGACAAAAAAAAAUAAAGAGAAGGAAGAGGAACCAAUCGGAAACAAACUCAAAGAAGUGGAACCAAAAAAAUGGGGGCUUGAUCGAAAAACAACCGCCAG